AGAGUUUGAUCAUGGCUCAGGACGAACGCUGGCGGCGUGCCUAAUACAUGCAAGUCGAGCGGGACUCUUCGGAGUCCAGCGGCGGACGGGUGAGUAACACGUGGGCAACCUGCCUGUAAGACUGGGAUAACUUCGGGAAACCGGAGCUAAUACCGGAUAAUCCUUUUCUUCACAUGAGGGAAAGCUGAAAGAUGGCGCAA
rnacentral:rRNA from 1 species